UACGGAGGGUGCGAGCGUUGUCCGGAUUUAUUGGGUUUAAAGGGUGCGUAGGUGGCUUUAUAAGUCAGUGGUGAAAUACGGUUGCUCAACAAUCGAGGUGCCAUUGAUACUGUAAAGCUUGAAAUAAUUGGAGGCUGCCGGAAUGGAUGGUGUAGCGGUGAAAUGCAUAGAUAUCAUCCAGAACACCGAUUGCGAAGGCAGGUGGCUACGAUUGGUUUGACACUGAGGCACGAAAGCAUGGGGAGCAAACAGGAUUAGAAACCCGAGUAGUCC
rnacentral:rRNA from 1 species